CCUACGGGAGGCAGCAGUGGGGAAUAUUGGACAAUGGGCGAAAGCCUGAUCCAGCCAUGCCGCGUGUGUGAAGAAGGUCUUCGGAUUGUAAAGCACUUUAAGUUGGGAGGAAGGGCAGUUACCUAAUACGUGAUUGUUUUGACGUUACCGACAGGAUAAGCACCGGCUAACUCUGUGCCAGCAGCCGCGGUAAUACAGAGGGUGCAAGCGUUAAUCGGAAUUACUGGGCGUAAAGCGCGCGUAGGUGGUUAGUUAAGUUGGAUGUAAAAUCCCCGGGCUCAACCUGGGAACUGCAUUCAAAACUGACUGACUAGAGUAUGGUAGAGGGUGGUGGAAUUUCCGGUGUAGCGGUAAAAUGCGUAGAUAUAGGAAGGAACACCAGUGGCGAGGGCGACCCCCUGGACUGAAACUGACACUGAGGUGCGAAAGCGGGGGGAGCAAACAGGAUUAGAUCCCCCUGUAGU
rnacentral:rRNA from 1 species